rnacentral:rRNA from 1 species
GGAGUUAGCCGGUGCUUCUUCUGUGAGUGAUGUCCUUCCUGCCGGCUAUUAACCCGCAGGCCUUCUUCCUCACUGAAAGUGCUUUACAACCCGAAGGCCUUCUUCACACACGCGGCAUGGCUGGAUCAGGGUUGCCCCCAUUGUCCAAUAUUCCCCACUGCUGCCUCCCGUAGGAGUCUGGGCCGUGUCUCAGUCCCAGUGUGGCUGAUCAUCCUCUCAGACCAGCUACGGAUCGUCGCCUUGGUGAGCCGUUACCUCACCAACCAGCUAAUCCGACAUAGGCUCAUCCGAUAGCGCGAGGCCCGAAGGUCCCCCGCUUUCCCCCGUAGGGCGUAUGCGGUAUUAGCCUGGGUUUCCCCCAGGUUAUCCCCCACUACCGGGCAGAUUCCUAUGCAUUACUCACCCGUCCGCCGCUCGCCACCAGGGAGCAAGCUACCCGUGCUGCCGCUCGACUUGCAUGUGUUAGGCCUGCCGCCAGCGUUCAAUCUGAGCCAUGAUCAAACUCUGA